GACGAACGCUGGCGGCGUGCCUAAUACAUGCCAGUCGAGCGGACCAAACAGGAGCUUGCUCUUGUUUGGUUAGCGGCGGACGGGUGAGUAACACGUGGGUAACCUGCCCGUAAGACCGGGAUAACUCCGGGAAACCGGAGCUAAUACCGGAUAACACCGAAGACCGCAUGGUCUUUGGUUGAAAGGCGGCUUCGGCUGCCACUUACGGAUGGGCCCGCGGCGCAUUAGCUAGUUGGUGAGGUAACGGCUCACCAAGGCGACGAUGCGUAGCCGGCCUGAGAGGGUGACCGGCCACACUGGGACGGAGACACGGCCCAGACGCCUACGGGAGGCAGCAGUAGGGAAUCUUCCGCAAUGGACGAAAGUCUGACGGAGCGACGCCGCGUGAGCGAAGAAGGUCUUCGGAUCGUAAAGCUCUGUUGUUAGGGAAGAAGAAGCGCCGUUCGAACAGGGCGGCGCGGUGACGGUACCUAACGAGAAAGCCCCGGCUAACUACGUG
rnacentral:rRNA from 1 species